CAGCCGCCGCGGGAAUACGUAGGUGGCAAGCGUUGUCCGGAAUUAUUGGGCGUAAAGGGCUCGCAGGCGGUUUCUUAAGUCUGAUGUGAAAGCCCCCGGCUCAACCGGGGAGGGUCAUUGGAAACUGGAAAACUUGAGUGCAGAAGAGGAGAGUGGAAUUCCACGUGUAGCGGUGAAAUGCGUAGAGAUGUGGGGGAACACCAGUGGCGAAGGCGACUCUCUGGUCUGUAACUGACGCUGAGGAGCGAAAGCGUGGGGAGCGAACAGGAUUAGAUACCCCAGUAGUCCCUGUCUCUUAUAC
rnacentral:rRNA from 1 species